UACGGGGGGGGCAAGCGUUGUUCGGAAUUACUGGGCGUAAAGGGCUCGUAGGCGGCCAACUAAGUCGGAUGUGAAAUCCCCAGGCUUAACCUGGGAACUGCAUCCGAUACUGGAUGGCUUGAAUCCGGGAGAGGGAUGCGGAAUUCCAGGUGUAGCGGUGAAAUGCGUAGAUAUCCGGAGGAACACCGGUGGCGAAGGCGGCUUCCUGGACCGACACUGACGCUGAGGCGCGAAAGCUAGGGGAGCAAACGGG
rnacentral:rRNA from 1 species